ensembl:lncRNA
UGUGUGUGUGUGUGUGUGUGUGUGUAUUGUUGGUGGAAAUGAGUGAUAUUGUUGAUUGACAGUUGUCACCACUCUCACUGAUCAUCCCCAUGACAUAUAACUAUGCCUCUAAAGAAUGUGAACGCUAAGAAUGCCAUGGACGUGGACGUAGCACCUUGGGAUGCAUCAUCGUGGUAUUAAACCUGACCCUCCUCAGUGUUGUUUUCUGCUCUGCUUUGAGAUGCUGUCUUUGAAUAUGACUCUGUAUGAUUUAUAUUUGUUUUUGUUCCAUUAAGUCUAGUGGGUUUUCAUCCGAUUCAAAGCACAGCUGUUUCCUGCGUCACUUGCAUGAAAACAUCUGUGCAGGUUGCUGAUAUGGACUUAAUGUCACCAAAUGGAAUUACGUUGUUCAUUUUCAUGAAAUCACCGGACAAUCAGUCUCCACUAAUUUUGCCAAACUUACAUUUUUCUAUUCUUUUACUUAUUUUUCCAAAAUUGCCAAAUUUUUCUUUUUUUUUUCUCUGGGCUUGAAAAAUGCUGCACUCUGACCAGCCAACCAUCCAAUUAUUUCAUGAAACCUUUUGCUAUUACAACUGCACGUAUCAUUACAUUAUCAUCAUUACCUAUGUUUGGUUGCAUUACAUAUUUAUUAUUCUGUUUUGAACAUUUUCUAUUGGUUGUUUGAUAUGCUGUUGACAUACAACGCAGUACUGUAGAACUGUAGCAUUACUAACAGAGCAGACUUGCAAGUGACUCUACCCAAAUAUCUUUUGAUUAUCCACUGUAUAAAAAGACAAUGUACAAAUUUAGUAACUCUAGCUUAGAAAAAGCCCUUAUUUUUAAAUAAUGUCAUCAAGGUCUUUUAUUUUAUUUAUUUCUGGUUUCUUUGUGCCAACUGUUUUUCAUUAUCACCUGACAACCUUACUUUCACAACAGUAACUCAUUUAAUCUGUUUACAAACAUGUAUUUAUUGUGCUGUAAAAUAUAAUAUAUAUGUAUAUACACACACACACACACACACACACACACACACACACACAUAUAUAUAUAUAUAUAUAUAUAUUUAUAUAUAUAUAUAUAUUGUUAUUACCAUGUUGCUGUUUGUUGUAAAUGAUUGACAUUUCUAUCAUCCCUUAUGGUGAUGGUGUUGCUGUAUUACGUAACUCUUGUUGAGAGAAUGUUUAUUAUACAUGCUUAUUCAAUGUAAAUAAUUUCAUUGAUAUCGGUCUCCUGAUAGCUUGUUCUGUUUGGAGAAGGUAGGGGGAGGGGAAGAAAAAACAAAAGAGUCCAAAUUAUUUUUUGUAGAGCAAACUCAAACUCUGUUCUUGGCCCAAGGGCUGUGCCUUAAGUGUACCAUUUUAGGUUUUUCAUCUUCCUUUCCGCUGCACUAGAGAUACUAUCAGCUGGAGUCAAAAGCCCCUCUGUAGUGUUCGUUACUGUCUUUUAAUAGAAACACAAUGUUUUAUUUUCUUAAAAAAAAUAAAGUCUCAGACCUCGAAGGGUUGGUGAGGGAAGAAAGCAUGAGUGACUGAGUGAAGACAAAACGCGACCAUUUCUGUUGUUGUCGUUGUUGUUGUUGUAUACAGGCCAGUAGUAUGUUCCCUGUGUACAGGUUUUGUUGCAGUGCAUGAGUGGGAAGAUAUAAGAGGAAAGAAUGUUCCGUUUCAGUCGCUGCUGCAUUUUCUUUCUGACUGAAACCUAAACAGACCUGCAACGUCAUCACGAGUUCACCCAGACUUUAUAGACUGAAAACACGUCCAUGUGUCAUGCAAUAUGUUUUAGAAUAUAAUACUGAAAACAGUUAUCUUUCCUCCAGAAAAAGGAAGGCGUAAUAUUUUGAUGUGUGAUGGAGGCAGUACCUUUAUAAAAUCGUGUUUAGCAAUGGAGACUCUUAUUUUGACACAUACUGUAGACCCUUACAGCCCUGGAUCAAUGAAAUCAGUGGGUAUCUGUCAGUUUUGUGUUAUCUGUCUGAGAAUAAACAGAAUGCACAAACUGAACUUUAGUUUUUUGUUUUUUAGCACCACUUUUUGGGGUUUAUGAUUCCUUUUUUUGAAUGCCAACUUGUCUGGAGAUUUCACAAGACUAUAGAGUUGUUUUAUUGGAUUCCUUGUUUAUUGCAGUCUAUUGGAUAGAACUGUAGAAGAUACACCUUCAGUAAAAAAAAUGACAAAAUUGAAUACAAAUGUUUUUAUAUACAACAGAUUAAAUAAAGCAUGGGUUGACACUGUCAUUGGGGCAUCUUUAUUUCUCCGCAGCUUGCACCUAAUACACACGGUGGCACUGGAGUGCAAAACUCACAAACAAAAUACUCACGUGUCUUAGCGAAAUUUCUUGGUGUUUCAUUGGGUCCUAAAGAUUCAAAGUGGGAUACUG